rnacentral:tRNA from 1 species
AGUAAAGUCAGCUAACAUAAGCUCCUGGGCCCAUACCCCAAAAAUGUGGGUGAAACCCCCGCCUUUACUA